CUAAUUACUGGCUAUAACUUAAACAUAAGAUAAAGCUAGUUCUAAACUAGAAAUAAUUUUGGAAAUUUUAGUACUUGCUUUUUGGAUGAUAAAUCAAGAAUUUAUCAUGACUUAGAGACUGACAAUUUUCUAUAAAAGAAUGUGAUAAAAAAUAAUUGCUACUUAAAUUCUGACAUGUUUUGAGAAGAAAAGUUAAAUACAGAUUUUAUGGCUUUGGUUCAAUCUGAACUAUUGGAGGAGGGUCUUAAAAAAUAAAAAACAUGUUCACCAUAGAUAAUGAUGAUGUCUUGAAAAUAUAUUAUCUCGAGGACAUAAAACAUAGGCUUUAUUUAAAUAAGCAAAAACAAAAAACUAGAACUAAUAAAAUGAAUUAUUAAAAUGUUUCCUGUGGUUUACUUAUAUCUUUCAAAAGGUAUAUACUGAAGUAAACUUCGAUUUGCUAAUGAUCCUUAUUUUAGAUGUAGUUAACGUCGAUUUUCUUCAGGAGCAAAAUAAUUAGAACCCUCUAAGGUGCCCAAUGACACUUUUUAGUAAUGACAGAAAAAAGAGUAGUGAUGUGAAUAGUAUUUGAAGAAUUACAGAUGAUACUAUGGGAUUCAUUUCCUCCAGUGCACCUUGCAGUGAUACAAUAAUAACGAUAUGACAAAUGUAUCGAACUACAUUUAUAACAUGCAUAAAUUUACAAAUAGUUACCCUAUAUCAAAAUAUCUUACUGUAAAAUGAGGUCUACACUGUAGCUCAGAAUAGUAUCUCAAUUCCAUUUUUCUCCAUAUUGAAGGAGGCAUCCUGACAGAGGCUGAUGUCCUGAAUCUCUUCAGAAAUAUAUACAGCUCCAAAGUGGAAAACACUUUGUAACAGGCAAGCACAAAGUGUAUCUCUUCUUUUGGUUGAACAAAGUAAAACAGUACCUUGUUUGUAAUGAAGUAUUACUGAAUAUACCAUAAUGCCUGUGAUAAUUAACAUUAAAUACUGAUGUGCAGAAGAGACAUGGGAGAAUGAAGAAAAAGAAACAAAAGGGCUGUUUUGCAAAAGCAGAGUUACAAGUCAAGAAAAAAUAAAUAUAACCAGGAAUCAGAUACCAAAUUGCUCUAGUCCAAAUAAGUAAUAGACAUUACUUUGGACAUGUCAAAGACUCUAAAAUAACAGAUAUUUUAAAAGUAACCUUAAGAUGGGAAACUGAAGACUGUUUCAUUGAGUGUGUCUUAUCUAAAAUUGUCCUGGAAUAAAACUAGAUUUAAAGAAGGAUUCAGGAUGUACUCAGAUGCAGGAGCUGCCCUUUAAGCACACAUGACUGAAACUAUCCUUAUAUAAACAGAAAAUCCAAGCUCUUGGUCCCAGAUCCCUAACAGCCUAUGAGAUAAUUCAAAGAGCAUGUACAGAUAUGAGUGAGUGUAUAUGUGUCUGAGCCUUAACAUUUUUAGCAGUAAACUGAACCUAUUUUACAAAUUAAACAGUUUAUGUAAUGCAGUAAAUUUUAAACAUUUUUCUCAUUACAGUUGUCAAAAAAAAUGAAUGUUAAGGUGGUUCUAAUUCUAAAAUAUCUGUAACAAGGUAAAAAUUCUGCAUUGCAUAUUUUAUAACCAGACAUUCUAAAACAGGGAGGAAAUUAAAGAUUAAUGAACCAGA